rnacentral:lncRNA from 1 species
UCCCAAACUCCCUCGACCUCGGGAAGCGUCACGGGUCGAGAGUGCGGCCCCAGACCCCUCGAUCUCGUGUAUGAUCCCUCAACUAAGUUUGAGAUGCCCCGAGUGCCGACUGUAGAGAUCCAAACUCCCUCGACCUCGGGAAGCGAUGCCAAGUUGAUAGCAAACCCAAGCUCCCUCGACCUCGCGCUCGAUACCCCGACCAAGGUCGGGAUGCCCCGUGAGUCGACCGUAGAGUUCCGAACUCCCU